AGAGUUUGAUCCUGGCUCAGGACGAACGCUGGCGGCACGCUUAACACAUGCAAGUCGAACGAGAGAAGAGAAGCUUGCUUUUCUGAUCUAGUGGCGGACGGGUGAGUAACACGUGAGCAAUCUGCCUUUCAGAGGGGGAUACCGAUUGGAAACGAUCGUUAAUACCGCAUAAUAUAAUUGAACCGCAUGAUUUGAUUAUCAAAGAUUUAUCGCUGAAAGAUGAGCUCGCGUCUGAUUAGCUAGUUGGUAAGGUAACGGCUUACCAAGGCGACGAUCAGUAGCCGGACUGAGAGGUUGAUCGGCCACAUUGGGACUGAGACACGGCCCAGACUCCUACGGGAGGCAGCAGUGGGGAAUAUUGCGCAAUGGGGGCAACCCUGACGCAGCAACGCCGCGUGCAGGAAGAAGGUCUUCGGAUUGUAAACUGUUGUCGCAAGGGAAGAAGACAGUGACGGUACCUUGUGAGAAAGUCACGGCUAACUACGUGCCAGCAGCCGCGGUAAUACGUAGGUGACAAGCGUUGUCCGGAUUUACUGGGUGUAAAGGGCGCGUAGGCGGACUGUCAAGUCAGUCGUGAAAUACCGGGGCUUAACCCCGGGGCUGCGAUUGAAACUGACAGCCUUGAGUAUCGGAGAGGAAAGCGGAAUUCCUAGUGUAGCGGUGAAAUGCGUAGAUAUUAGGAGGAACACCAGUGGCGAAGGCGGCUUUCUGGACGACAACUGACGCUGAGGCGCGAAAGUGUGGGGAGCAAACAGGAUUAGAUACCCUGGUAGUCCACACCGUAAACGAUGGAUACUAGGUGUAGGAGGUAUCGACCCCUUCUGUGCCGCAGUUAACACAAUAAGUAUCCCACCUGGGGAGUACGACCGCAAGGUUGAAACUCAAAGGAAUUGACGGGGGCCCGCACAAGCAGUGGAGUAUGUGGU
rnacentral:rRNA from 1 species